ACCUGGGAUAGCUCAAUUGGUAGAGCACAAGACUCUUAAUCUCAGGGUUGUGGGUUUGAGUCCCACGUUGGGCA